rnacentral:rRNA from 1 species
CGUCUAUAUACGUAUAGCAUAUCAAUAAGCGGAGGAAAAGAAACUAACAAGGAUUCCCUUAGUAACGGCGAGUGAAGCGGGAAGAGCUCAAAUUUGAAAUCUUCAAGGUUCUACCUUGACGAAUUGUAGUUUAUAGAAGUGUUUUCUGUUAGUGGAGUGGCAAAGGUUCUUUGGAAUAGGACAUCAUAGAGGGUGAGAAUCCCGUAUUUGGUCAUUCCUCCUAGCGUUGUGAUACACUUUCAACGAGUCGGAUUGUUUGGGAAUGCAGUCCAAAAUGGGUGGUAAAUUUCAUCUAAAGCUAAAUAUUGGCGAGAGACCGAUAGCGAACAAGUACCGUCGAGGGAAAGAUGAAAAGAACUUUGAAAAGGGAGUUAAACAGUACGUGAAAUUGUCAAAAGGGAAGCGUUUGACGCCAGUGUUGUUUUUCCGAAAAUCAAUUACGAAUGUUUUGUUUUUGAGGAGUUAUGACUUCAUCGGCUUGCUCCUUUCUUUAUGAAACUUUCUUAAUGCACUUUUCGGUUAACAAGUCAACAUCAAUUUCUUUUGUUGUAAAAGGGUAUGAGGAAGGUGGCUUUCUUUUCGGAGAAAGUGUUUAUAGCCUUGUGCCUCUGCAAUCGGAGAGAUUGAGGUCUGCAGCGUAGAUCCUUCGGGGUUAGAUACGUUUGUGCUAAGUUAUAGCUUUUCAUAGACAACUUGUUGACUAUGUUUAGUCUUGUAGCUUACUCGCUUACGCUAUUUUACCUACGCUUAGGAUGUUGACGAGACUGUCGAUCUC